GGCUAACGCUGGCGGCGUGUCUUAGCCAUGCAAGUCGAGCGGACUUAUGGGGUAACUUAUAAGUCAGCGGCGGACGGCGGAGUAACACGUAGCUAACCUACCCUCUGGACGGGGAUAACCUACCGAAAGGUGGGCUAAUACCCGAUGUAGUCAUCCUGUAUAGGGGUGAUGAAAGGUGGGCUUCUGUUUACAAGCUCAUGCUGGAGGAGGGGGCUGCGGCCUAUCAGGUAGUUGGUAGGGUAAUAGCCUACCAAGCCGAUGACGGGUAGCCGGCCUGAGAGGGUGACCGGCCCGAGGGGCACUGAGAUACGGGUCCCACUCCUACGGGAGGCAGCAGGCUAGAAAUUUGGGCAAUGGGGGAAACCCUGACCCAGUGACGCCGCGUGCAGGAAGGAGCCCUUCGGGGUGUAAACUGCUGUCGUGUAGGGAGAAGGGUACUAAGGUGAACAAUCUUAGUACUUGACGGUACUACAGGAGGAAGCCCAGGCUAACCUCGUGCCAGCAGCCGCGGUAAGGCGUACGUAGA
rnacentral:rRNA from 1 species